rnacentral:ncRNA from 1 species
GACAUUACUUUGAUGGAGCCAAAUGAAUGUGUUCACUCCCAGAGAGCCGGUGGUAGGUGCAAACCGGUAGGAAGUCAUUCAUCGAGCACUCCGGAGUAGACUAGCUGAACUCGAUAGAUAGUAGGUUAGUACGGUGGAAACCGUUAUCUCAUGUGUCGAUUUCUUUUAUUUCGACCAGCAAGGUCAUAUGUGUGAGCAUAUGACAAACUGAGGGUGGCACCACGACCUUUCGUCCCUCAU